rnacentral:tRNA from 1 species
UAGCUCAGCGGGAGAGUGCAUGCCUUGCAAGCAUGAGGCCCUGGGUUCGAUUCCUCAG